rnacentral:misc_RNA from 1 species
GAAAUGCGAUAAGUAAUGUGAAUUGCAGAACUUUGUGAAUCAUCGAAUCUUUGAACGCAUCUUGCGCCCCUUGGGGCAUGCCUGUUUGAGUAUCACUUAAAUCCUCACCCCUAACCGGAUUGUUAAUUCAAUCCUUGGUUUUGUUUGGUGGAUCCAUGAGGUUCCAGUUGAGUGUGGGAAACCGUGCUGUAAGCUGGUGCCUUUAAAUUCAUGAUUCGAAGGCUUUUUUUGUUAUUUUGUAGAAUGCCUUAUAAUCUCGAAGCGAGAAACUCGAUUCUUGGGAUACAAAGGAUUGCUAUAGAUAAUGGGAGUCUAUUAAAAAAACGAAUCACAACACCACGGUGUCUUAAAAACAACAGACUCCAAAAUCAUCUUGGUCUCAAAUCAGGCAGGACUACCC